UGUGCGGGCACCCUGGGAGCUCGGCCCAGCGGGCGGGGCGGAGUCAGUUUCCUGCAGGUGCAUGCUGGGAACGGCGGCCGCCAUAGCUCUGUGGAGAUAGCGUCGGCCUGCACGCUUCCCAUGCCCGGGGUACUGUCUGUUGGAAGUGAGGCCGCCAUUGCUCUGUGGAGAGACCUUCGCCCCGGUGCGUGACGGAAGCCCAAGUACAAGUCUGUUAUUUUGAUGAGCUGCCCAGGAGAGUGAAUUUCGGAGGCACAAGUCCACUGAUGAGAAUGUCCAGCCAGCAGAUGUGGUGGCACGUGCAAGGAUAAGUUCUGAGAGCAAGCUUUUUACAUUUGAUCUGCUGAGAUGGGGGGCAGGAUAAGACGUGACCUCUGACAAAAAAGCAGGUCGCAGCUGAUUUAAGAUGAAAUGACAUUUUUUACCUGAAUCCGAAGGUAACCUUCAUGUUCCCUGAAGAUUCGAUAAGUGUAGAUGAGCCGUUCAAAGCUGUGAAGAGAUACCCUUUCAUAAGUUGUUUUUUAUCAACAUUCAAGGAACAACAAUGGCUAGACACCACUACGUCUAAAACUUCUGGUGGAAGUAUUUUUUUUUUAAAUGUAAACCAAGCUAAAACAAUAAACGACUAAAACCCCAGGGAGCCAAUCUCUGGAAAUGUCUGUCAUUAUAUUUUUUGCUAACAACAAUUACAUACCAUUUAAAUCUCUUCUAAAGUACAAAGUAUGUCACUUGUACAAACAGCUAUUUUAGAAAAUGCUUAGCCAUUUAAUUAGUGAAGAUAGAUACCCCAAAGCUAACUCUGCAGCCUAAAUCUAAAGAAAAAGCAGGAGUUCCUUAAAACAGAAAUAGUGUCCAUUUACCUUUUUAAAAGGGCACCUGAAGUGUAUUUUGUGCAUUUAUAAACACUUGCUUUCAAGCACUACCAUGAAAGAAGGAUACUGGAGAGUUUUGGGCACACAUUCAUUUUUACAUUAGAUUUAUGUUAGGGCU